CGGGGUUUCUAAUCAGGUGACUUGGCGUUCAUCAGAAGGGAGGUUGAUCUGGCCGAGCCUGGCUAGCUCAGGUGCACCCUUUAAGAGGCUGGAAGCCACAGAGCCGCCCCCUCCUGAUGCCAAAGAAGCAUAUGGCCAUCGGCUCCACAGCUGCGAGAAAGAUUAUGCACACAACGACAUGCGCUCAGGAGGGGACCUCGCGCCUCGGUUGAGAUCCCAGCCCUGGCUGACACCUUGAGUGCAGCCUGUGAGACCCUGAGCAGAGGUUCAGCAGUCCCCUCCCCGGACUCCUGCCACACAGAAGCCAUGAGGCAUCCCCAUCACACACUAGGCUUGGUGACUGCACUUGAGGGACUCACAGGACUUAGCCUACCAUCAUACUAGUGGCUGGGAUUUACUACGGUGAAAAGAUGCGACGCAGAAUUAGUAACAGGAAGAUGCAUUUGGGGUGAGGGCCGGAGGAAACCAGCUGACAGAACCAAGGACACACACCUUGUUAACGACGCCCUCAAGGCUGUGAGGAGAAAGACAACCGGGUGAAGCAACGCUGGGAAUUCAACGCAUCAAUUACCUUCCCAGGUAACAGCAGCUACUUGAGCUCCUAAGAGUUGACCUUCAGCUGCUGUCAUGGAAAAUAGUGGGGGUCAACUAGACAUCAAAGAUGAAAGGCCAGGCCUCCAGCACAACUUUCUCUGUAAGCUCGAUAGUGGCUUUCUCAAAGAAAUCCUUUUCUCAAAAAAAUUUCUUGUAAAGACAGGGUCUUGUUCUGUCACCCAGGCUGGACUGCAGUGCAUGGCUCACUGCAGCCUCAACCUCCCGGGCUAGAGUGAUCCUCCCCUUUUCUGAGGAGCUCAGACCACAAGCGUGCACCACUGUGCCCAGCUGAUUUAUAAACUUUUUUUUUAGAGACAGGGUUUCACCAUGUUGGCCAGGCUGUUUUCUUUCAAGGUUUCACCAUGUUGGCCAGGCUGUUUUCUUUUCUUCUCUUUUUUUGAGAUGGAGUUUCACUCUUGUUGCCCAGGCUGGAGGGCAGUGGCGCGAUCUUGGCUCACUGCAACCUCCGCCUCCCAGGUUCAACGAUUCUCCUGCCUCAGUCUC
rnacentral:lncRNA from 1 species